rnacentral:rRNA from 1 species
UACGUAGGUGGCAAGCGUUGUCCGGAUUUAUUGGGUUUAAAGGGUGCGUAGGCGGUUCCAUAAGUCAGUGGUGAAAUACGGCAGCUCAACUGUCGAGGUGCCAUUGAUACUGCGGAACUUGAGUACUGAUGAGGUAGGCGGAAUUGACGGUGUAGCGGUGAAAUGCUUAGAUAUCGUCAAGAACACCGAUAGCGAAAGGCAGCUUACCAAGCAGUAACUGACGCUGAGGCACGA